UUCUAGUCUAUACUAUUAAACGAGAAGACCUCAUUUUGGGUGUCGCUUCUCUUCUUUCCACAAUAAAUUAAUCAUCAUGUCUCUGUGUCCUAUGGAUACAGUGCAUAAUCGCAUUUGUCAUCCAUUCAUAUGAUUAUUCAGAUUGAGUUAUUUUGGGUGAAAAACGAGAAAAAAGACGUACGGAUAUGUUUCCGUCAUUGGGCGAAAUUUUAAGUCAGAUUAGACUUCCGGUUUGCGUUUUUCUGUAUACUUUGAACAUACAUUAAUACUACGAAUACAGUGUAUUUUCUGUCUUAUAUCCGUCAUUGGACGAAAUUUAAGUCAGAUUAGACCUCCGGUUUGCGUUUUUCUUUUUACUUUGAAACAAAUACAUAUACUACGAAUAAAGUGUAUUUUCUGUCUGAUAUCAUUUUCAAGUUUA
rnacentral:lncRNA from 1 species